UCCAGGUGUAGCGGUGAAAUGCGUAGAGAUCUGGAGGGAAUACCCGGUGGCGAAGGCGGCCCCCCUGGACAAAAGACUGACGCUCAGGUGCGAAAAGCGUGGGGAGCAAAACAGGAUUAGAUACCCUGGUAGUCCACGCCGUAAACGAUGUCGACUUGGAGGUUGUGCCCUUGAGGCGUGGCUUCCGGAGCUAACGCGUUAAGUCGACCGCCUGGGGAGUACGGCCGCAAGGUUAAAACUCAAAUGAAUUGACGGGGGCCCGCACAAGCGGUGGAGCAUGUGGUUUAAUUCGAUGCAACGCGGAGAACCUUACCUACUCUUGACAUCCAGAGAACUUUCCAGAGAUGGAUUGGUGCCUUCGGGAACUCUGAGACAGGUGCUGCAUGGCUGUCGUCAGCUCGUGUUGUGAAAUGUUGGGUUAAGUCCCGCAACGAGCGCAACCCUUAUCCUUUGUUGCCAGCGGUCCGGCCGGGAACUCAAAGGAGACUGCCAGUGAUAAACUGGAGGAAGGUGGGGAUGACGUCAAGUCAUCAUGGCCCUUACGAGUAGGGCUACACACGUGCUACAAUGGCGCAUACAAAGAGAAGCGACCUCGCGAGAGCAAGCGGACCUCAUAAAGUGCGUCGUAGUCCGGAUUGGAGUCUGCAACUCGACUCCAUGAAGUCGGAAUCGCUAGUAAUCGUGGAUCAGAAUGCCACGGUGAAUACGUUCCCGGGCCUUGUACACUCCGCCCGUCACACCAUGGGAGUGGGUUGCAAAAGAAGU
rnacentral:rRNA from 1 species